rnacentral:tRNA from 1 species
GAGCAAGUGGCGCAGUUGGUUGGCGCAGCCGAUUGAUAAAACUCUCUCCCCCCGGAACGAAAUCAAUCGGAAGGUCGCGGGUUCAAUUCCCGCCUUGCUCA